CAGGACGUGGCUGAGUCAGUUAAGCAUCUCACUUACACCGAGAAGAUACCCAUGCAAACUGGGUCGCCCUGA
rnacentral:tRNA from 1 species